UACGUAGGGUGCGAGCGUUGUCCGGAAUUAUUGGGCGUAAAGAGCUCGUAGGCGGUGUGUCACGUCGUUCGUGAAAACUUGGGGCUUAACCCUGAGCUUGCGGUCGAUACGGGCAUCACUUGAGUUCGGCAGGGGAGACUGGAAUUCCUGGUGUAGCGGUGAAAUGCGCAGAUAUCAGGAGGAACACCGGUGGCGAAGGCGGGUCUCUGGGCCGAUACUGACGCUGAGGAGCGAAAGCGUGGGGAGCGAACAGG
rnacentral:rRNA from 1 species